CACUGCUGAGUGUUACUCUGUGAUAAGUGUUUAUUCCCUGUGGGACCCUCAGGACAGGGUGCUGCUGCAGGAAGAGCUCUACAACAAAGCUAUGGAACAGCUCUAAGCAGGGUUUUUUCCUGUUCAUCACUUUGGUACCCAAUCCAUACCAACAAGCAUUGAUUUUUCCAAACACCAAGAAGAGUUAGAGCAGCAAUUGAUGUAUUUUACACGCAGAAGCCAAUGCAAGUUAAAGGCCACGCUUCCCAAACAAGAUAUUUAAUUUCACUCUCAUUACACAAGUAGUCACCCCUAACGAGGAAUGAAAGAGAGCACGAAGGCAGCACACAAAAUGAGAAGAGAUGAAAACUAGCUUUUGUGCUCACACAUACUCACAGGAGAAAUACUGCUGGCUGCCAGCCACAAGAAAAGUAUUACUCCGAGGAGCUGUAAUGCCUCGAAGGUAAAUCUUCAGAACGUGAAGAAAUACUAAAUGUAUAUUUGUCUGCACAGUUACUCGAAGAAAAAGUGUUUUGUCAGAAUUUGUUAUCUACCUGAAAACAGCCAGAAAUGUCAGCUUUUAAAAAUAGUCUUCAAGCAGAAAUAAAGACAGACUGUGGAGCAGAGAUUUAUCUUCAAUAUCUCCACUAAAUAAAGGAAGAUGUUAGUACAGAAUUAUAAUUUUUUAUCUCCAUAAACUAUUUCCCCUCACUUUGAAAUUCCCUUGUGAUAUUCCAAGCCACCAAGGAGUCCCCAAGAAGCUUCAAAUACUACAGGAUAUACUGUCUGCAAAGCCCAGGUGACACAUGGGAUGUCUCCUUUGGGCUCUUUAAUAAGCUGAGAAGGACUGCAGCAAAUCCAGAGGGAGAACUGUAGGGACAGGCAGGAAAAGGACUGAGCUGAACUUUUUAUUUUUUAUUUCAUUAAAACUGAUUUAGGAGCAGAGUUUCUAGACCUCACCUAGUAGGCCAGUCAGUACUAAAGGCUUUUCUUAAUCCACAGGUAGGUUUUGAAGUUCAACUUUUGAAAUUUGGAAGGAUUUGCUACUUGUUUUGGGAACGUUGCAACAUUGGUUUGGCCAAAGCACGACCUUGCCUUUACUGAUUAUUGGGAAUACAAGGAAAAUGAGGCAAAAAAUGUUGAAAGCAAAUUUUAAAAGUGAUUCUCAGAAAAAAACAGAAGAGAGAAAUAACACCGAGAAGUCAUGCCUUAAGAGGGUAACAGAGAUGACUCAGUUGUCUGCUGAGCUGGGUCAAUGAAAAUGAUUAAGAAACAGCCUCACAAAUCAAUAGAAAGGUUAUCUGGAAAUGCCCAAGAAAGUAAAACUAACACAGAAGAGAGUCCUAUUACUUCCCAUUAUUGCUAUAAAGAAAUGUUGUACAGCCAGGUUAAUGAUGCGUUUUCCUCCUCAUUACAGUCUUUGACACAAAAAUAAGAUGUCUCCCUGCACUGGGAAUUGUUCUUGAAGAGCCAUUGUUUUCACUCUUCCUGUAACUGGGUUUGCUGGACGUCUCUGUUUUCUCUAUCUCAACUCACACACCUCUCUCAGAAAAAAGACGUAUAAAGCUGGGCAGGCAAAAAGCCCAACACUGAAGGAGAAGAUGGCAGGAAAGAAUGCUAUUUUUAUGCUCAGAGAAAGUGGAAGCUGAAAACACCAGUCUCAAUGACAUGAGAACUGUCAGCAAGAACAGAUAAUUACACAACGUGAAUUCAUCCUCAUGACAAUGACUCUAAUGAGAUAGGAAAUGGAAUAAAAUCAAUAUUCUAUUUACACUGACGGGGCAGUCCCAAAGCUUGAAAUUGCCAAAUGCCUGUCUUUUAAAUCAAGGAACACAAAAUUACUGACUGCCUUUUAGUAUUUUCAAAACACCUCUGCCAAACUCGAAGUUUACCAAUAACAUAUCUCAACAUAAAAUUUGGAAGAGAUACAGCAAUUACUCCUCAGCACAAGUGAGGGAUAUAAUUAUAGUGCCGUCACAAAAUUAAGCUGAAACAAUGAGCUAAUGAACAUCCUGGCCACAUAACAGAAUAGGAUGGGGUAAAGAAAAAUCCUCUUUAGUAAACUACAGCUGAACAAGCCAACUGUCUCGUACUGUAGCUCCACAGGAGCUGCACCCACUGCUUAGGACAGCACGGAAAAGCUGAAGGACCCCUCUCUGCAUUUGGUACGUUCGUGUACACCAGGAACAAACGGAGUGCAGAGGCAGAGCAGGGAACAGCCAGCUCUGGAGCAGCACUGCCCAGGUACUGUACCCUGAGAUGGAUUCCACAGUUCCCCAGCCCAGCAGCUUGGGACUCAGAGCCUUCGAAAACAAAAGCACACGUUAGCUCCGAAUUACUGAGUCCCACACUGGAUUUGUAAAAAACUGCCAGCACUGCUUCUGUGACCCAGAUAUUCUGCAUGAUAUACAUAGUUCUAGUAGUAGUAGUACUAGUGUUUUAAAGGUUUUUUUCUGUACUGUUUUAGCUCUGACAGACUCGCCUGGUGCAACCUCCCACUGACUUCAGUGGCUCCUCCGGCACAUCCCAAUCAGAUGUGGUUUUAUCCUGAGUCUGUUUCACAGUUCCUGGAACUGCUUUAGCAGAACCACCUAACUGUGACAUUCCAUCUGAAUUUAACAUCCCCAAGUGCGCUCAGUUCAUGAAAACGGGAUAAAUAAUGAAGAAGAGGCCACACAUUGCACACUACGUGCCCCAGUCACAUGCAGAAAUCAGGUACUGCUCCAAGAUUUCUGUCCCUAAUCAAACCAC